rnacentral:sRNA from 1 species
UCGCUGUUUCAUCAAUAGCAGGGUCUC